rnacentral:tRNA from 1 species
GGCCGAGUGGCGGAAUGGCAGACGCUGGGGAUUUAAAAUCCCCUGCCCGUAACGGGCGUGUGGGUUCGACUCCCACCUCGGCUACCA